UUUAUGGAGAGUUUGAUCCUGGCUCAGGAUGAACGCUGGCGGCGUGCCUAAUACAUGCAAGUCGAGCGAACGGACGAGAAGCUUGCUUCUCUGAUGUUAGCGGCGGACGGGUGAGUAACACGUGGAUAACCUACCUAUAAGACUGGGAUAACUUCGGGAAACCGGAGCUAAUACCGGAUAAUAUUUUGAACCGCAUGGUUCAAAAGUGAAAGACGGUCUUGCUGUCACUUAUAGAUGGAUCCGCGCUGCAUUAGCUAGUUGGUAAGGU
rnacentral:rRNA from 1 species